UCCAUCCGCCUGCAACUAUUCGAAUCAGAUUCUGAUCAGAUCAACGUGACCUGAAGCUGUCUCAGCAAUUAUUCAGAUCAAGUUCGGAUCAGUUGUAGGAUCAGUACCUGACCCAACACCAAGUCUGACUUGAUCCGAACUUGAUCCAGACCUGAACUAAUUUUCCACUCGGGUGUACGGGCUGGCGAGAAGCUUUUACGAUCUUCGUUAGAGCCCAUCACUAUUCUCCCCGUAAUUCUCCCUCUACGCACCUCGAGCCCCGUAACUAACCAUUAUAAGUAACGGGGCGCAUGUGCAGGGCACACUCUGCUAAUGGAUAAAUCCAAGGGUUGAAGUAGGAUAGGAGUGAAGCGAGAGAACUGCGUCGGAAAUUCUUGGAAAACUAAAGGUAGAACCCCCUGUAUAGUUUUGACGAUACAAUCGCGGAAACCCGAUACUGCACUGAGGUCUUAACUGCUUUUGCUUCCACCGCGUCUUUAGAAUUGUCCUCUACUGCUAGUGUAAUCACGAACAAAGAGGAAGUUCAGAGUGAGAAGAAGUAGAAGGAGAAAUUAUUCGGGCAUCACAGGGAUCUUGCCCUCGAUUAUUCCCGGCUUUAUCACGAAUGAAUACGUUUAGAUUUCUUAGUAAGUUCUUGUGAAAAACAAAAAUGCUCAACAAAUAUGCAAAUCGAGUUGAAAGUGACUGGCAAAUAAACUUUAAGAAAAGACGUUUAGUUUGUACUAUGUGGGAAGUUGUAGAAUAGUCCCCGAGAGUUUACCAAGAUUGUUGGCUGGAGCCAACUCCAGUUGUUGUCCUAACAUUCAGCAAGGGUUUCUAUUAUAAUCCAGUAGAGAUCUAAUUAGCAAAGUCGU